UAAUACAUGCAAGUCGAGCGGACCGACGGGAGCUUGCUCCCUUAGGUCAGCGGCGGACGGGUGAGUAACACGUGGGUAACCUGCCUGUAAGACUGGGAUAACUCCGGGAAACCGGGGCUAAUACCGGAUGCUUGAUUGAACCGCAUGGUUCAAUCAUAAAAGGUGGCUUUUAGCUACCACUUGCAGAUGGACCCGCGGCGCAUUAGCUAGUUGGUGAGGUAACGGCUCACCAAGGCGACGAUGCGUAGCCGACCUGAGAGGGUGAUCGGCCACACUGGGACUGAGACACGGCCCAGACUCCUACGGGAGGCAGCAGUAGGGAAUCUUCCGCAAUGGACGAAAGUCUGACGGAGCAACGCCGCGUGAGUGAUGAAGGUUUUCGGAUCGUAAAACUCUGUUGUUAGGGAAGAACAAGUACCGUUCGAAUAGGGCGGUACCUUGACGGUACCUAACCAGAAAGCCACGGCUAACUACGUGCCAGCAGCCGCGGUAAUACGUAGGUGGCAAGCGUUGUCCGGAAUUAUUGGGCGUAAAGCGCGCGCAGGCGGUUUCUUAAGUCUGAUGUGAAAGCCCCCGGCUCAACCGGGGAGGGUCAUUGGAAACUGGGGAACUUGAGUGCAGAAGAGGAGAGUGGAAUUCCACGUGUAGCGGUGAAAUGCGUAGAGAUGUGGAGGAACACCAGUGGCGAAGGCGACUCUCUGGUCUGUAACUGACG
rnacentral:rRNA from 1 species